GACGAAGGGGCUAGCGUUGUUCGGAAUUACUGGGCGUAAAGCGAGUGUAGGCGGUUGUUCAAGUCAGGUGUGAAAGCCUUGAGCUCAACUCAAGAAAUGCACUUGAUACUGGAUGACUAGAGGACCGGAGAGGAUAGUGGAAUUCCCAGUGUAGUGGUGAAAUACGUAGAGAUUGGGAAGAACACCAGUGGCGAAGGCGGCUAUCUGGAACGCAACUGACGCUGAGACGCGAAAGCGUGGGAGCAAACAGG
rnacentral:rRNA from 1 species